rnacentral:rRNA from 1 species
AUACGGAGGAUCCAAGCGUUAUCCGGAAUCAUUGGGUUGAAAGGGUCCGUAGGUGAUAAUUAAGUCAGAGGUGAAAUCCUGCAGCUCAACUGUAGAAUUGCCUUUGAUACUGGUUAUCUUGAGUUAUUAUGAAGUAGUUAGAAUAUGUAGUGUAGCGGUGAAAUGCAUAGAUAUUACAUAGAAUACCGAUUGCGAAGGCAGAUUACUAAUAAUAUACUGACACUGAGGGACGAAAGCGUGGGGAGCGAACAGGAUUAGAAACCCUAGUAGUCC